rnacentral:rRNA from 1 species
GACGAACGCUGGAGGCGUGCUUAACACAUGCAAGUCGAACGAUGAAAUGGAGCUUGCUCCAUGGAUUAGUGGCGAACGGGUGAGUAACACGUGAAUAACCUGCCCUUAAUUUUGGAAUAACCCAGGGAAACCUGGGCUAAUACCGGAUAAGUAAACCUGUGGCAUCACAUGGUUUUGGAAAGUUUUUCGAUUAAGGAUGGAUUCGCGGCCUAUCAGCUUGUUGGUGAGGUAAUGGCUCACCAAGGCGACGACGGGUAGCCGGCCUGAGAGGGUGAACGGCCACACUGGGGCUGAGACACGGCCCAGACUCCUACGGGAGGCAGCAGUGGGGAAUAUUGCGCAAUGGACGAAAGUCUGACGCAGCGACGCCUCGUGAGGGACGAAGGUCUUCGGAUUGUAAGCCUCUUUCAGCAGGGACGAAGCGAAAGUGUCGGUACCUGCAGAAGAAGCACCGGCUAACUAUGUGCCAGCAGCCGCAGUAA